rnacentral:rRNA from 1 species
AUUGAACGCUGGCGGCAGGCCUAACACAUGCAAGUCGAGCGAGUGGCGGACGGGUGAGUAAUGUAUGGGAAUCUGCCUGAUGGAGGGGGAUAACUACUGGAAACGGUAGCUAAUACCGCAUACCAUCAGAUGAACCCAUAUGGGAUUAGCUGGUUGGUGAGGUAACGGCUCACCAAGGCGACGAUCCCUAGCUGGUCUGAGAGGAUGACCAGCCACACUGGAACGGAGACACGGCCCAGACUCCUACGGGAGGCAGCAGUGGGGAAUAUUGCACAAUGGGCGCAAGCCUGAUGCAGCCAUGCCGCGUGUAUGAAGAAGGCCUUCGGGUUGUAAAGUACUUUCAGCGGGGAGGCGUUACCGACAGAAGAAGCACCGGCUAACUCCGUGCCAGCAGCCGCGGUAAUAC